rnacentral:sRNA from 1 species
AUCGGUCAGAGGUCUAAGAUCAAAAAUACCCAAGACGCCCAAUAGGAUAGAAACGGCAAUUAGGCCUGAGGCGAACCCCCCGAGUGCUCCAGCUAAAAUCGAGAUAGCCUGUCUGGCGAGGGACGGAGUGGGCACCGAGUUAUCAAUCCCUAUCAACGAGUUUCAUGCUGCGCUGCUGCGCCUUCUCCCCAACGUCGAAUGAGCCUCGGAAAGGGCCUUGUGCGGGUGAGGUGCGUCAUCACAGGGGUUCACCGCGCUUGAGAUCACGGCAGGCGAUACGGUAAAUGAACAUUCGACUUUUGGUUGUCGUCAAGAGGGCUUUGCGACAGGCGAGGGGGCCGACCUCGUCCUUCGACAGGCUCAGGGUGAGGUCGGCUGUCGGUGUUGUCAGGCACGUCAGGCGAAGAUGACGAUGGCGAUCGCCGUCGCGAUCCCGCCGACGAUCACCCCGAGCGCAAACUCGAGGGUCUUGGCCUCGUUCGUGUGAGGGCACCUGAACAGUGAUUUCGUUCGAAGGGGCUCCUCGUAAAGCGGUGUGGCCCCGUGCGGGGCCACACCGUGGCGGCAUCUAGUCCUACUCGGCGAGAUCAAUGCCGAGCCCGGCGGCGGCAAACUGGAUCACCUUAGGGCGAGCCUGGGGCCUGUUUGAGGUUGGCGGAGAUUACGGUGACAGUGCUAUAACUGUUCAGCCUGGAUUAAGUGAAUUGUCACCGUAAUUCCGCUAACGCGGAUCGCCGCAGACAAUGCCCAGACCAGGCUGCCAAAUAGAAAUCGGGUAGCACGCUCGGUCUGGGCAAUCUAGAUAAAAACUAGAAGAGUUUUGGUAUAUAUUCUGUAGCUUUUGAAAGCAAUGUUACUAGUCCAAGAAUAAGUAUUCCAAGGGCUGAUGAUGCAAUAAAGGACUUUAUAUUUCCAAGUCCCAUUGAUCUAAAAUCUCUAAGGGAUAUGUAGCCUGUAAGAAAAGCUGAUACACCAAACAAAACUACAGGGUCCAAUCCCUUUACAGAAAACACCCCUAUCAAUUGUAACCAUCCAAAUACCAAAAGUAUUCCGAUAGUCCAAUUAAGGAUUUGGGUGAAUUGCAAGGUUGCCCUUUUUGUCAUGGUCAUGAUCCGUCCACCGCUUCGUAGAGCGCGUAGGCG